rnacentral:lncRNA from 1 species
UUAGUAAUUCACUUGCAAGUGAAUGAGUCGACCUCUUUAAAUUCGUAUUCAUGUGAACUUCAAUUUAACCCCUAACUUGAGUUUGACAACGCACGCAUUGUACGUGUACUGGUUAUUUAAAGAAAAAGAAUGUCAACAAUGAAAGUGAAACUACGAUAAAUCAUUCGAUUACUAAUUCGAUACACAUACAAUCAUUCGUAUACGGUUAAAAACAAUGAGAAACAUCUAUUUCUAAUCUUUAAAAUAAAAUCAAACAGACCUAUAAAAUUCCAAUUGCACGUGUUGGUUUAAUCUAUUCAUAUCUUUAUUUAUGUUUACAUCG